ensembl:lncRNA
AGUAAAUAUAUUAGACUACUACAGUACAGUAAACAUAUUAGACUACUACAGUACAGUAAAUAUAUUAUACUACUACAGUACAGUAAACAUAUUAGAAUACUACAGUACAGUAAACAUAUUAGAAUACUAGAGUACAGUAAACAUAUUAGAAUACUACAGUACAGUAAAUAUAUUAUACUACUACAGUACAGUAAACAUAUUAGAAUACUACAGUACAGUAAACAUAUUAGAAUACUACAGUACAGUAAACAUAUUAUACUACUACAAUACAGUAAAGAUAUUAGACUACUACAGUACUGUAAAGAUAUUAGACUACUACAGUACUGUAAAGAUAUUAGACUACUACAGUACAGUAAAGAUAUUAGACUACUACAGUACUGUAAAGAUAUUAGACUACUACAGUACAGUAAAGAUAUUAGACUACUACAGUACUGUAAAGAUAUUAGACUACUACAGUACUGUAAAGAUAUUAGACUACUACAGUACUGUAAAGAUAUUAGACUACUACAGUACUGUAAAGAUAUUAGUCAGGUUAGACAGACUAGAUAGACAAGUCAAGUUAGACAGACUAGACAGACUAGACGGACUAGUUAAGUUAGACAGACUGCUCAGGUUAGACAUACUAGACAGACUAGUCAAGUUAGACAGACUAGACAGACUAGACAGACUAGUCAAGUUAGACAGACUAGACAGACUAGUCAGACUAGACAGACUAGUCAAGUUAGACAGACUAGACAGACUAGUCAGACUAGACAGACUAGUCAGACUAGACAGACUAGUCAAGUUAGACAGACUAGACAGACAAGAGAUACUAGUCAGACUAGACAGACUAGACAGACUAGUCAAACUAGACAGACUAGACAGACUAGUCAAGUUAGACAGACUAGACAUACUAGACAAACUAGUCAAGUUAGACAGACUAGUCAGACUAGACAGACUAGACAGACUAGUCAGACUAGACAGACUAGUCAAGUUAGACAGACUAGACAGACUAGUAAAGUUAGACAGACUAGACAGACUAGUCAGACUAGACAGACUAGUCAAGUUAGACAGACUAGUUAAAUUAGACAGACUACUCAAACUAGACAGACUAGACAGACUAGUCAAGUUAGACAGACUAGACAGACUAGUCAGACUAGACAGACUAGUCAGACUAGACAGACUAGUCAAGUUAGACAGACUAGACAGACAAGAGAUACUAGUCAGACUAGACAGACUAGACAGACUAGUCAAGUUAGACAGACUAGACAGACUAGUCAAGUUAGACAGACUAGACAUACUAGACAAACUAGUCAAGUUAGACAGACUAGUCAGACUAGACAGACUAGACAGACUAGUCAGACUAGACAGACUAGUCAAGUUAGACAGACUAGACAGACUAGUAAAGUUAGACAGA